CCCCGGACCUAAUUCUCCUCUUCUUUUCUUUGGAAAAUAAAGGGAGCUGUGGAGACAGAAGCGGCCAAGAGACUCACCCAGCGGCGCACUCACACAACUGCAGCACGUCGGGCAGUGGCCUUAUCAGCGGCCGCGUCGCCUGUGGCGUAUUCUUCUAUGAAUAACUGUUCAUUUGGUCUCCGGGUGACUAAAAGAACGGGCGAAAGCACGUCUGCCAUCUAACUUAUAGUCUACAUUAACGAAGGGGAGAUCUGUUCAAAAAAAGGUCAUAGCGUAUCUGGCAUUGAUUGUAAUGGGCUUUACGAAUAUGGAUUUUAAAAACGGACUUAGAAUGGAGAACAGUACGGAGAUCCGAGAGUCAGGUAUACAACGAAGCGUUGGGAAAUAAGGACACCCCCAGUGACUGAUGCACUGUUGAAGAUGUUGGACUCUUUAACCUGGCCUCCCCAAAUGCAUCUCUGCACAUCGACUGAAGACGGGAAAUAAUUAAAGGAUUCCUGCACUGGGGGAAUCGAAUUUGUAAAAUAAAAUAAAAAGGAAAUUUGUAUCAUUAAAACCUGCAUGGUUCUUUCUCUGUCAUUUUGUGGUAGUAUCUGUUUUACACGUGUUAACUGAAUGAAA